UUUCUCAUUUGCAAAAUGGGACGAUUGCGCCUCCCACGGUGAUGGUUUAAGUGGUUGUCUGUGAGAGCCCCUUGUAAACUGUUACCACCACGACAAUGUGAGCUACAGCACCAAAUAUCCCCUCCUUCUUUGGUGUCUUCUAGGUGCACAUCAUUGAAGAGAAAGGAGCCUCCUUCAAGUUCAACUACAAAGCAGGCUUGUUAAAUCCCAGAAUCUGAGGAGAGGAGAUCCUCACUAAAGGCAGGGCCCCUGAGGCAGCUGACUUCAUUAAAUUGCAAAGGGCACAUCUGCUUCCAUUUUUAAGGGCCCCCGGGCCUGGGGUACGAAGAGGGCUGCUGCUUCCCUGCUACAAGAUGGCAGAUCCAUGUGAGUAGAGAGUUUGGAAGAUCUCCUGGAUGUUGGAGCAGUCCUGAAGAGAGUGGGCCAGGUGUUCCGCCACGCUGCUGGAUACCUGUACAGUUUCAAGUUGAGGAAAAAAGUCUCCCUUAAAGCUGAAGAAGUAAUUCACCAUGUGGAAACCACUGUGUAUUUUAAUCCUACUCUGGGAGGAAAUCGUAAUUUAUUAUUAUAAUUAACUGGUUCACUGGAAAUGAACUUUGGAAGUUCCUCCAUGAUCUCUAAACCAUUGUCUGUGUAGCUCUAUUGGGAAUGUUCUGGCCUUGCUUCUCAUGGACACUCACCCCGAUGCUGCUGAUUUCUGAGCCCAGGACGGGCCGAUCAGACGAUGAAGAUUCAGACCUGGUCUUGGAUAGCUUCACCCUCUCGGCAAUCUUAAAAAGCAAAAGAACAAACUAUCAAAAAAAGGACAAGUCAUUCCCUAGAUAAACUGUUCACACAGUUUAUAUCGGCAUACUGGUUAACCAUGGUAACUAAACUGAUUAAUAUCUUAAAAACUGUAGGGAGUGGCUAUAGGGUCAAGCCUCAGACUGACCUGUGGCAGAGCCACAUACAAGCCUCAGCUUGGAGGACAGAGCCCUCCUAGCACAAUUAAGCUUGACCUUAUAGUCCCCCCUUAUUCCUAGGUAGCUAAUUGGCUGUGGGAGGUGCAGCAAGUGCUGCCAA